rnacentral:rRNA from 1 species
UACGUAGGGGGCAAGCGUUGUCCGGAAUUAUUGGGCGUAAAGAGCUCGUAGGCGGCUUGUCGCGUCGGCUGUGAAAACUCGGGGCUCAACCCCGAGCCUGCAGUCGAUACGGGCAGGCUAGAGUCCGGCAGGGGAGACUGGAAUUCCUGGUGUAGCGGUGAAAUGCGCAGAUAUCAGGAGGAACACCGGUGGCGAAGGCGGGUCUCUGGGCCGGAACUGACGCUAAGGAGCGAAAGCGUGGGGAGCGAACAGG